rnacentral:rRNA from 1 species
AUUGAACGCUGGCGGCAGGCCUAACACAUGCAAGUCGAGCGGAUGACGGGAGCUUGCUCCUUGAUUCAGCGGCGGACGGGUGAGUAAUGCCUAGGAAUCUGCCUGGUAGUGGGGGACAACGUUUCGAAAGGAACGCUAAUACCGCAUACGUCCUACGGGAGAAAGCAGGGGACCUUCGGGCCUUGCGCUAUCAGACGAGCCUAGGUGGGAUUAGCUAGUUGGCGGGGUAAUGGCUCACCAAGGCGACGAUCCGUAACUGGUCUGAGAGGAUGAUCAAUCACACUGGAACUGAGACACGGUCCAGACUCCUACGGGAGGCAGCAGUGGGGAAUAUUGGACAAUGGGCGAAAGCCUGAUCCAGCCAUGCCGCGUGUGUGAAGAAGGUCUUCGGAUUGUAAAGCACUUUAAGUUGGGAGGAAGGGCAGUAAGUUAAUACCUUGCUGUUUUGACGUUACCGACAGAAUAAGCACCGGCUAACUCUGUGCCAGCCGCCGCCGUAAUAC